rnacentral:tRNA from 1 species
GGCGGCGUAGCUCAGUGGCUAGAGCAUUCGGUUCAUACCCGACAGGUCGGUAGUUCAAAUCUACUCGCCGCUACCA